AGUGAACGCCGGCGGUAGGCCUAACACAUGCAAGUCGAACGGCAGCACAGUAAGAGCUUGCUCUUACGGGUGGCGAGUGGCGGACGGGUUAGGAAUACAUCGGAAUAUACUUUUUCGUGUGUGAUAACGUAGGGAAACUUACGCUAAUACCGCAUACGACCUACUGGUGAAAUCAUUGGAUCUUCGGACCUUGCGCGAUUGAAUGAGCCGAUGUCGGAUUAGCUCGUUGGCGGCGUAAAGGCCCACCAAGGCGACGAUCCGUAGCUGGUCUGAGAGCAUGUUCAGCCACACUGGAACUGAGACACGGUGCAGACGGCUACAGGAGGCAGCAGCCGGGCAUCUUGGAACCUGGGCGCCAGCCUGAUCCAGCGAUACCGCGUGAGUGAAGAAGGCCUUCGGGUUGUAAAGCCCCUUUGUUGGGCAAGAAAAGCAGCAGGUUACUCCCCCGCUGUUCUGACGGUACCCAAAGAAUAAGCACCGGCUAACUUCGUG
rnacentral:rRNA from 1 species